AAAAGACAAAGCAUUUAUGGAAGAAGAAAAAUCCUCCUAUUUAACGCCAAAAGAGAGAAAACGCUGCAGUGAAACAUAUGCAUUGCUCUUCAUAGUGGAGCCUGGAGAGGGAUCUUAAGAAUAUUAUGUGUACUCUUGCCAUGUCAUAACCAAAGUUAUAUUUCUAGGUUCCAUAUAUGAUAUCCACACCUUCCAGCCACAGUUUAUGAAGUGGAAUGUUAGUUUCUAGAUUAGAAAAUAAGAGAAUAAUCUUAAGAGAAACUCUGGACUAUUACGAAUGCAGUAAUAAAAGUCGUGUAGACCAAGCAUAUUGGUCCCGACUUUGAGGCCAGCCUAGGAUACAUAAUGAGACUCUCUCAAACAAAAGAAAAGAAAGGAAAAAGAAAAGGAAGAAAGCUAAAGAGCACAAAUCUAUUUUGGAAAAGAAAAAAGAAACUAAAAUCAAACCACAACUCAUUCAAAAAUAAGUCCUGUCAGAAAGAUGAUUAAGCUUAAUAACAUAACAUUUGAUCAGGCAUGGGAAGAAUGAAGCAGGCAUGCCAGUCUCCAGGAGAACUAGGAUGAGUGUUAACUAGAAUGUUAUUUUUAAUUUUUAGAAUGCUCUUUGUUUGUUGUAGAUUUUAUGUUGUGUCCUAUAGGAAAAUAUCAGGGGAAAGUGGGCCCGGAUAAUGGGAAUGCUUGUUAUCUAACUUCAGUAUAUCUCGGUUGAAUCAAAUGGGAGUAUCUGUUGGGAGAGACACACAUGAGGGUAAAGGAAGAGGGGCGAUACCUAGUUGGUCAUUCAGUAUAUGAAAUUGUCUUGAAAGAUGGAGGGAGAGUUAGCUUAAAAGUUUACCCUAUGUGAAUGGGCUCAUUGAUCUUAUAGGCUGGUUUGUGGGAAUCUCAGAAUUCCUUAUUUUAUUUGGAGGCUAAAGGAAUGUUUCUGUACAAAUACACAGGUAUAUGCACAUACUCAUGUGCAGACACCACACAUACUCACAUACACACACACACACACACACACACACACACAAACACUUUGUAUGGUUCUUAAUUUGUGAUAGUUUAGACAUUGAUAUCAUGCAUAGUUGGCAAUAUUCCAAUUGAAAGACAUUUAAUACAACUAAUCUACAGUGGACAUCACAGAUUAGUAAAAGGAUAAGCUGCAGCUCAUUGGUUGUUUCCUCUCAUGAUCCUGUGGCUAAUUGAAACUUGAAUCUCAAACUACUGCUCAACCCCAAGACACAGCAUCAUACUACUGCAUCUGGCUUGCUCUAGAAUUAAUGCAAAUUGAAGGCAUGAUUGCUCCAGAGUAUCUGUGACUUUCAUACCAUUGUAAAACAAAUCAAGCCAUCCGAUAUCGGACUAAUCUAUAUAUGUGAUGUACAUCUCAGGAAGAUUGGGGAAUACCUCAUUAAUAAUUUCAUGGUAAUCUUAAUCAAAACCACCUUCUACAAAUAUUUACCCCUAAACUAUUUUAAGUAAAAUAUUCUUUUAUUCCUGUGACUAGCAACAUAUUUUAUAUAGUAUACACUUAUAUUUUAUGUAUGUUUUAAUUUAGUUUUUUUUCCAUGGCUAUAUAUUCAUUGAACACAGAACUGGGCUACAUAAAGAUAUUUCACACAAGUAAAUAAUGUACUUUGGUCUUGUACAUAGACCUAGCUUUUUUUUUUAAAUGUCUCCCACCUCCAACACUGGGACCCUCCUUGUGUUUCCCUAGUCAAUUCUGCUUCUAUUUCCAAGCAAUGUGUACAUAUAUGAUUUGAUAUAACUAUAUAAAGUCUAGGAACCACAAAUAAAAAGGCACAUGUUAUUUUUAUCACUUGAUAUGAAUAUCUUCUCUUGUAUCCACUUUAUUCCAAACAUUAUAACAUUGGUUUGUUUUUAGCUGUGGUAAAAAAAUUAGAAAGCCUAUGUAACCCAUUUAAAACACCUAUUUGUUGUCUAAUAAUUUCCAUCUUAGAGAGAAGCUUGUUAAAAGACAGGAUGCUGAAAGAGGAGAUGAAACAUUUCAACCUGAAGGGAAGUGCUUUAAGAUGCAGGAUGUAAAACAAUGAAAUGCUGGAAGAAGAGCUCAAACACUCCAUUCUUUAAAAAGGCUUCUUAAACUCAGGAAAUAAACAACUGAAUAACUUCAGAAAGUCCCUGAAACUGGCAAGAUUCUCUGCUGCCAUCCUUCUCCAAGCAUUUAUAAUCGUUGUGUAAUCUGAGAGCUAAGGCUCUAGCUGCAUUCAUCCCAAUAUGAAUAUACAAAUUUCUAUGUGUCAUUUGUUAAAGGGGCUGUCCUUUCUGCAAUGUGUAUUUUUGGCAAUUUUCUUUGAAGUAAAAUGACUUUAGCUUAUUGGGCUUAUAUCUGUAUAUUCUAGUCUGUUCCUUUUAGAUUGAUUUGUCUGUUUUUGUGCCAGUUCCAUGCUGUUUUGUUUUGAUGGCUUAGUAAUAUAAGGUGAAUCAGAGAUGGUGAUGUUACCAACAUUAUUCAUUUUGCUCAGGCUUGCUUUGCCUAUUGGGUAACUUCUACACUUCCAAAUGUGUUUCAAGAUUAUUUUUCUAUUUAUAAAGAAUUCCAUUACAUUUUUAAUAUUUUUAUGGGGUUGUAUUGAAUUUGUAGGUUGCUUUUGUUGAGACAUUUCCACAAUAUUGGUUAUUCUAAUUCAUUAGUCUUUAGGAAAUAUGACCAGCAGUUGUAUAGCUGAGUCAUAUGCCAGUUCUGUUUUUAAUUUUUUUUGGAAAACUUCCAUAGUGAUUUUCAUAGUGGCUGUACUAGGUUACACCCCCACCAGCAAUAAAUAAUUUCUCUUUUCUAAAACCUCACC
rnacentral:lncRNA from 1 species